rfam:Haloarcula marismortui ATCC 43049 chromosome I, complete sequence.
ACGACGUUGGCUACUAUGCCAGCUGGUGGAUUGCUCGGCUCAGGCGCUGAUGAAGGACGUGCCAAGCUGCGAUAAGCUGUGGGGAGCCGCACGGAGGCGAAGAACCACAGAUUUCCGAAUGAGAAUCUCUCUAACAAUUGCUUCGCGCAAUGAGGAACCCCGAGAACUGAAACAUCUCAGUAUCGGGAGGAACAGAAAACGCAACGUGAUGUCGUUAGUAACCGCGAGUGAACGCGAUACAGCCCAAACCGAAGCCCUCACGGGCAAUGUGGUGUCAGGGCUACCUCUCAUCAGCCGACCGUCUUCACGAAGUCUCUUGGAAUAGAGCGUGAUACAGGGUGACAACCCCGUACUGAAGACCAGUACGCUGUGCGGUAGUGCCAGAGUAGCGGGGGUUGGAUAUCCCUCGCGAAUAACGCAGGCAUCGACUGCGAAGGCUAAACACAACCUGAGACCGAUAGUGAACAAGUAGUGUGAACGAACGCUGCAAAGUACCCUCAGAAGGGAGGCGAAAUAGAGCAUGAAAUCAGUUGGCGAUCGAGCGACAGGGCAUACAAGGUCCCUUGACGAAUGACCGAGACGCGAGUCUCCAGUAAGACUCACGGGAAGCCGAUGUUCUGUCGUACGUUUUGAAAAACGAGCCAGGGAGUGUGUCUGUAUGGCAAGUCUAACCGGAGUAUCCGGGGAGGCACAGGGAAACCGACAUGGCCGCAGGGCUUUGCCCGAGGGCCGCCGUCUUCAAGGGCGGGGAGCCAUGUGGACACGACCCGAAUCCGGACGAUCUACGCAUGGACAAGAUGAAGCGUGCCGAAAGGCACGUGGAAGUCUGUUAGAGUUGGUGUCCUACAAUACCCUCUCGUGAUCUAUGUGUAGGGGUGAAAGGCCCAUCGAGUCCGGCAACAGCUGGUUCCAAUCGAAACAUGUCGAAGCAUGACCUCCGCCGAGGUAGUCUGUGAGGUAGAGCGACCGAUUGGUGUGUCCGCCUCCGAGAGGAGUCGGCACACCUGUCAAACUCCAAACUUACAGACGCUGUUUGACGCGGGGAUUCCGGUGCGCGGGGUAAGCCUGUGUACCAGGAGGGGAACAACCCAGAGAUAGGUUAAGGUCCCCAAGUGUGGAUUAAGUGUAAUCCUCUGAAGGUGGUCUCGAGCCCUAGACAGCCGGGAGGUGAGCUUAGAAGCAGCUACCCUCUAAGAAAAGCGUAACAGCUUACCGGCCGAGGUUUGAGGCGCCCAAAAUGAUCGGGACUCAAAUCCACCACCGAGACCUGUCCGUACCACUCAUACUGGUAAUCGAGUAGAUUGGCGCUCUAAUUGGAUGGAAGCAGGGGCGAGAGCUCCUGUGGACCGAUUAGUGACGAAAAUCCUGGCCAUAGUAGCAGCGAUAGUCGGGUGAGAACCCCGACGGCCUAAUGGAUAAGGGUUCCUCAGCACUGCUGAUCAGCUGAGGGUUAGCCGGUCCUAAGUCUCACCGCAACUCGACUGAGACGAAAUGGGAAACAGGUUAAUAUUCCUGUGCCAUCAUGCAGUGAAAGUUGACGCCCUGGGGUCGAUCACGCCGGGCAUUCGCCCGGUCGAACCGUCCAACUCCGUGGAAGCCGUAAUGGCAGGAAGCGGACGAACGGCGGCAUAGGGAAACGUGAUUCAACCUGGGGCCCAUGAAAAGACGAGCAUGAUGUCCGUACCGAGAACCGACACAGGUGUCCAUGGCGGCGAAAGCCAAGGCCUGUCGGGAGCAACCAACGUUAGGGAAUUCGGCAAGUUAGUCCCGUACCUUCGGAAGAAGGGAUGCCUGCUCCGGAACGGAGCAGGUCGCAGUGACUCGGAAGCUCGGACUGUCUAGUAACAACAUAGGUGACCGCAAAUCCGCAAGGACUCGUACGGUCACUGAAUCCUGCCCAGUGCAGGUAUCUGAACACCUCGUACAAGAGGACGAAGGACCUGUCAACGGCGGGGGUAACUAUGACCCUCUUAAGGUAGCGUAGUACCUUGCCGCAUCAGUAGCGGCUUGCAUGAAUGGAUUAACCAGAGCUUCACUGUCCCAACGUUGGGCCCGGUGAACUGUACAUUCCAGUGCGGAGUCUGGAGACACCCAGGGGGAAGCGAAGACCCUAUGGAGCUUUACUGCAGGCUGUCGCUGAGACGUGGUCGCCGAUGUGCAGCAUAGGUAGGAGUCGUUACAGAGGUACCCGCGCUAGCGGGCCACCCAGACAACAGUGAAAUACUACCCGUCGGUGACUGCGACUCUCACUCCGGGAGGAGGACACCGAUAGCCGGGCAGUUUGACUGGGGCGGUACGCGCUCGAAAAGAUAUCGAGCGCGCCCUAUGGUCAUCUCAGCCGGGACAGAGACCCGGCGAAGAGUGCAAGAGCAAAAGAUGACUUGACAGUGUUCUUCCCAACGAGGAACGCUGACGCGAAAGCGUGGUCUAGCGAACCAAUUAGCCUGCUUGAUGCGGGCAAUUGAUGACAGAAAAGCUACCCUAGGGAUAACAGAGUCGUCACUCGCAAGAGCACAUAUCGACCGAGUGGCUUGCUACCUCGAUGUCGGUUCCCUCCAUCCUGCCCGUGCAGAAGCGGGCAAGGGUGAGGUUGUUCGCCUAUUAAAGGAGGUCGUGAGCUGGGUUUAGACCGUCGUGAGACAGGUCGGCUGCUAUCUACUGGGUGUGUAAUGGUGUCUGACAAGAACGACCGUAUAGUACGAGAGGAACUACGGUUGGUGGCCACUGGUGUACCGGUUGUUCGAGAGAGCACGUGCCGGGUAGCCACGCCACACGGGGUAAGAGCUGAACGCAUCUAAGCUCGAAACCCACUUGGAAAAGAGACACCGCCGAGGUCCCGCGUACAAGACGCGGUCGAUAGACUCGGGGUGUGCGCGUCGAGGUAACGAGACGUUAAGCCCACGAGCACUAACAGACCAAAGCCAUCAUUCA